CAGUGUCUCCCUUCUGUCCAGGUAAACCAGGUGAUCCAGGAUUUCCAGAGUAGCCUUUCUCACCCUUCACUCCUCCAGAACCUGGUGGUCCACGGGGCCCCUCUGGGCCAGGAGGACCUUUACAAUACCGAUAAGGUCAUUUCUGGAAUGAGAAGAACCUGACCUUCUGGGCCUGUCACCAAGCGUCAUCAGGAGAAGGUGGAGCCACACCACAGGAGACAGGAAAUAAAGGUGAAGACACGCACAUAAACGGAAACACACAGCAUUACACUACUGAUCAUCCUCUUUUUGAAUCACUGGAUUCAGCAUUACACCAGACAGACAUCACACUGUGGAGAGAGGAAAAGAGCUUUCGUUCCUCAGGAAAAAAGAGGGGUAAGGGAGUCGAGACACAUGAGGAAGA